rnacentral:rRNA from 1 species
UCCGAGUUGUAAUUUGUAGAAGAUGCUUCGGGUGCGGCUCCGGUCUAAGUUCCUUGGAACAGGACGUCAUAGAGGGUGAGAAUCCCGUAUGUGAUCGGCCGCUUGCGCCCAUGUGAAGCUCUUUCGACGAGUCGAGUUGUUUGGGAAUGCAGCUCCAAAUGGGUGGUAUAUUUCAUCUAAAGCUAAAUAUUGGCCAGAGACCGAUAGCGCACAAGUAGAGUGAUCGAAAGAUGAAAAGCACUUUGGAAAGAGAGUUAAACAGUACGUGAAAUUGUUGAAAGGGAAGCGCUUGCAACCAGACUUGCGUGUUGUUGAUCAUCCGGGGUUCUCCCCGGUGCACUCGACCUCACUCAGGCCAGCAUCGGUUUCGGUGGUUGGAUAAAGGCCUUGGGAAUGUAGCUCCUCUCGGGGAGUGUUAUAGCCCUCGGUGCAAUGCAGCCUACCGGGACCGAGGACCGCGCUUCGGCUAGGAUGCUGGCGUAAUGGUUGUAAGCGACCCGUCUUGAAACACGGACCAAGGAGUCUAACAUCUAUGCGAGUGUUUGGGUGUCAAACCCAUACGCGUAAUGAAAGUGAACGGAGGUGAGAACCCUUAAGGGUGCAUCAUCGACCGAUCCUGAUGUCUUCGGAUGGAUUUGAGUAAGAGCAUAGCUGUUGGGACCCGAAAGAUGGUGAACUAUGCCUGAAUAGGGUGAAGCCAGAGGAAACUCUGGUGGAGGCUCGCAGCGGUUCUGACGUGCAAAUCGAUCGUCAAAUUUGGGUAUAGGGGCGAAAGACUAAUCGAACCAUCUAGUAGCUGGUUCCUGCCGA